rnacentral:rRNA from 1 species
AUUGAACGCUGGCGGCAGGCUUAACACAUGCAAGUCGAGCGGAGAGAGGUAGCUUGCUACUGAUCUUAGCGGCGGACGGGUGAGUAAUGCUUAGGAAUCUGCCUAUUAGUGGGGGACAACAUUUCGAAAGGAAUGCUAAUACCGCAUACGUCCUACGGGAGAAAGCAGGGGAUCUUCGGACCUUGCGCUAAUAGAUGGGCCUAAGUCGGAUUAGCUAGUUGGUGGGGUAAAGGCCUACCAAGGCGACGAUCUGUAGGGGGUCUGAGAGGAUGAUCCGCCACACUGGGACUGAGACACGGCCCAGACUCCUACGGGAGGCAGCAGUGGGGAAUAUUGGACAAUGGGCGCAAGCCUGAUCCAGCCAUGCCGCGUGUGUGAAGAAGGCCUUAUGGUUGUAAAGCACUUUAAGCGAGGAGGAGGCUACUUUAGAUAAUACCUAGAGAUAGUGGACGUUACUCGCAGAAUAAGCACCGGCUAACUCUGUGCCAGCCGCCGCAGUAAAAC